AUCAACGCUGGCGGCGUGCCUAACACAUGCAAGUCGAACGAGAAAGUGGAGCAAUCCAUGAGUAAAGUGGCGCACGGGUGAGUAACACGUGACUAACCUACCCUUGAGUGGGGGAUAACUUCGGGAAACCGAGGCUAAUACCGCAUAAUACCUACGGGUCAAAGGAGCAAUUCGCUUAAGGAGGGGGUCGCGGCCGAUUAGUUAGUUGGCAGGGUAAUGGCCUACCAAGACGAUGAUCGGUAUCCGGCCUGAGAGGGCGCACGGACACACUGGAACUGAAACACGGUCCAGACUCCUACGGGAGGCAGCAGUGGGGAAUUUUGCGCAAUGGGGGAAACCCUGACGCAGCAACGCCGCGUGGAGGAUGAAGUCCUUCGGGACGUAAACUCCUUUCGAUCGGGACGAUAAUGACGGUACCGGAAGAAGAAGCCCCGGCUAACUUCGUGCCAGCAGCCGCGGUAAUACGAGGGGGGCGAGCGUUGUUCGGAAUUAUUGGGCGUAAAGGGUGCGUAGGCGGUUUGGUAAGUCUUGUGUGAAAUCUACAGGCUCAACUUGUAGUCUGCACGAGAAACUGCCGGGCUUGAGUAUGGGAGAGGUGAGUGGAAUUCCUGGUGUAGCGGUGAAAUGCGUAGAUAUCAGGAGGAACACCUGUGGCGAAAGCGGCUCACUGGACCAUAACUGACGCUGAUGCACGAAAGCUAGGGGAGCAAACAGGAUUAGAUACCCUGGUAGUCCUAGCCCUAAACGAUGACUGCUUGGUGUGACGGGUACCCAAUCCCGCCGUGCCGUAGCUAACGCGUUUAGCAGUCCC
rnacentral:rRNA from 1 species